UCCUCUUCGACAAGGACUUAUGUAGUUGAAACUGAUCUUGUAACCAAGAAUAGCUUUACUUCAAAUUCUUGAUUCCCCCCUUACCUUCCAUCUCUACCUCCCAAGUGCUGGCAUUACAGGUACCUGACACCAUGGCCUGCUCCUAAGCAUUUUCUCACUUGAAGGGCUUUGAACACACAUGAAGGGCUUUGAACACACAUGAAGGACUGUGAACACACAUGAAGGAAAGGCUAUGAACAUAUCAGGUUCUCCCUUCAGGCUCCUGAUUUGAGUUCCUGCACUGAAUUCUCUCAGGAAUGAUAGACAGUUACCUGAAACCGUGAGCUGAAAUAAACCCGUUCUUCCACCAACUUGCUUUUGGUCACAGUCUUUUUAGCUGCAGAUCCUUAAGCAUCUUGGGCCAAUCCUCUGACUUUUCGGUCACUGAGAACUUAUGGAAGAGUAGACAGUGGCAUCUCUCAUUCUUCAAGACCUGGCUUGGCCAGUACCUCCUUCAUGCCCUCUUCACACAUACCCAUCUCCUGGAGUGCCCUUUCUGAAGUUGCAUGCAGUCUCUUAGUGCCACAUGGUUCCUCUGGAUCCAGAAGGAAAAGAAAACGAGAGGCACAGCUGAAAAGUAGACCACAUGUGCACCGGAGAUGUUCUUUCGA
rnacentral:lncRNA from 1 species